rnacentral:rRNA from 1 species
GACGUAGGGCGCGAGCGUUGUCCGGAUUUAUUGGGCGUAAAGAGCUCGUAGGCGGCUUGUCGCGUCGUCCGUGAAAACUUGGGGCUCAACCCCAAGCUUGCGGUCGAUACGGGCAGGCUAGAGUUCGGUAGGGGAGACUGGAAUUCCUGGUGUAGCGGUGAAAUGCGCAGAUAUCAGGAGGAACACCGGUGGCGAAGGCGGCAUCCUGGACCGGUAUUGACGCUGAGGCGCGAAAGCCAGGGGAGCAAACGGG